GAUGAACGCUGGCGGCGUGCCUAAUACAUGCAAGUCGAGCGAACAGACGAGGAUCUUGCUCCUCUGACGUUAGCGGCGGACGGGUGAUUAACACGUGGAUAACCUACCUAUAAGACUGGGAUAACUUCGGGAAACCGGAGCUAAUACCGGAUAAUAUAUUGAACCGCAUGGUUCAAUAGUGAAAGACGGUUUUGCUGUCACUUAUAGAUGGAUCCGCGCCGCAUUAGCUAGUUGGUAAGGUAACGGCUUACCAAGGCAACGAUGCGUAGCCGAACUGAGAGGGUGAUCGGCCACACUGGAACUGAGACACGGUCCAGACUCCUACGGGAGGCAGCAGUAGGGAAUCUUCCGCAAUGGGCGAAAGCCUGACGGAGCAACGCCGCGUGAGUGAUGAAGGUCUUCGGAUCGUAAAACUCUGUUAUUAGGGAAGAACAAAUGUGUAAGUAACUAUGCACGUCUUGACGGUACCUAAUCAGAAAGCCACGGCUAACUACGUG
rnacentral:rRNA from 1 species